rnacentral:rRNA from 1 species
GAUGAACGCUGGCGGCGUGCCUAAUACAUGCAAGUCGAACGAGGUGCCUUUGUAGCAAUACGAAGGUAUCCUAGUGGCGAACGGGUGAGUAACGCGUUGGUGACCUACCCCAAAGUGUGGGAUAACAGAUCGAAAGAUCUGCUAAUACCGCAUGUGGUCUUCGGAUUUAGAAACUGAUGACUAAAGGAGCAAUUCGCUUUGGGAGGGACCUGCGUCCCAUCAGCUAGUUGGUGAGGUAAUGGCUCACCAAGGCUACGACGGGUAGGGGACCUGAGAGGGUGGCCCCCCACAAUGGAACUGAAACACGGUCCAUACACCUACGGGUGGCAGCAGUAGGGAAUAUUGCACAAUGGGCGAAAGCCUGACGCAGCAACGCCGCGUGAGGGAUGAAGUACGUCGAGAUGUAAAACCUCUUUCAGCAGGGGACGAAGCGAAAAGUGACGGUACCUGCAGAAGAAGCGCCGGCUAAACUACGUGCCAGCAGCCGCGGUAAAU